CCAGGAGGUGCAGUCUUGGGGAUGAGAGUUCCUGGGAUGUACAGGAGGCUCCAGGAGGUGCAGUCUGUGGGAUGAGAGCCCCUGGGAUGUACAGGAGGCUCCAGGAGGUGCAGUCUGUGGGAUGAGAGCUCCUGGGAUGUACAGGAGGCUCCAGGAGGUGCAGUCUUGGGGAUGAGAGCUCCUGGGAUGUACAGGAGGCUCCAGGAGGUGCAGUCUGUGGGAUGAGAGCUCCUGGGAUGUACAGGAGGCUCCAGGAGGUGCAGUCUUGGGGAUGAGAGCUCCUGGGAUGUACAGGAGGCUCCAGGAGGUGCAGUCUUGGGGAUGAGAGCUCCUGGGAUGUACAGGAGGCUCCAGGAGGUGCAGUCUGUGGGAUGAGAGCU